rnacentral:rRNA from 1 species
UGUUUCGGCUAGGGGGCCAUCCCGGCUUACCAACCCGAUGCAAACUGCGAAUACCGGAGAAUGUUAUCACGGGAGACACACGGCGGGUGCUAACGUCCGUCGUGAAGAGGGAAACAACCCAGACCGCCAGCUAAGGUCCCAAAGUCAUGGUUAAGUGGGAAACGAUGUGGGAAGGCCCAGACAGCCAGGAUGUUGGCUUAGAAGCAGCCAUCAUUUAAAGAAAGCGUAAUAGCUCACUGGUCGAGUCGGCCUGCGCGGAAGAUGUAACGGGGCUAAACCAUGCACCGAAGCUGCGGCAGCGACACUGUGUGUUGUUGGGUAGGGGAGCGUUCUGUAAGCCUGUGAAGGUGGCCUGUGAGGGUUGCUGGAGGUAUCAGAAGUGCGAAUGCUGACAUAAGU